AUAACUGGUGGCUGCCGGAUGGAAAGGAACAAAGAAAAGUAUCCCAAUUGGCGGAGAAAGAGCGAAAGAUAGGAAGAGCCGCGGUGGCGAAAUCUUAAUCUAUGUGGCCGCCCCUCUUUCCUCUUUUUCCCUUCCCCCUUUCUUUUCUUCCCAAACACGUCCCAUUGUUCCAAACCCCAACCUCUUCCCUCCCUCUCUUUCCAUCUCUCCUUUCCGCUCUUUCUCCCAUACCAACCUUACAAAAUCCCGCAUAACUCCUCUCCUCGCUUUCUCUCCCUCUAAUCCCGAUCCCUCUCCUUUCCACGAUGGGCUGGGUUCCAAUCCCACUCCUAAGAAAUCUGUCCGUACCAAUCUGAUACAUGAGAUAGAACCAUUGGAUGUUAGCCUUAUCCAAGAAGAUGUAUCCCCUACAACCGUGGAUGCCAUGAAAAGGACUAUAUCGGGCAUGUUAGGUUUCCUUCUGAUAGGUUUCAAGUCUUCAUCGAGGCACUAUGGGAACCUCUCUCAAAAUUGUUGGUUUCUUCUAUGAUGACUGGGUAUGUUCAUAUUCUAUGUGAUGUGAAUGUGAUGUGCUUCAUUAUAUUAAAUGUUUCUAUGCUCCGGUUGGUUGCGAAGUAGUAGAAGAAACCUUGUUUAGGGGCUUUUUGUCUCUCUGCAUGUUGUGAUGGUUUCAGUGCUUGUUGGCUAUGUUAUUAAGUUUCAGAUGCAAGUGUCGGAUAUGGGCGUAUGUUGGACGCUGAUAUAUUCAACUUUUUAAUAAGUUUUCCCCUGUAUUUGGAGGGUCCUUGGGGUCAUAUACGGUUUACUUUUGAAGAAAAGUUAAGCAUUGGAACAAGAUAACUUGGUAGA